CCUCAUUCUCUCAACCCACCCCCAAGGCCCCAACAUUCGUCAAAUAGCAAUUGAAUUUCGAGGCUUAGGUUUUCACGUCCGCUCAAAUCCAUGGAAAAUUCGGGGGAUUCAAAUGCGGGAGAGACAAGAAACUGUUAUGAACAGGAGGAAUCUUCGACUUGGGCGGAGGCGGAGAAGAAGCCGGCGGAGUGGACAGAUGAGAAGCAUAGUUUGUAUCUGAAAUCCAUGGAAGCUGCAUUCGUUAACCAUUUGUACAAAUUGCUAGCGCAGCAAUCGCAUAAAAACUUCCCACUAGGUUCUAAACCGUCCCGGCACAAGCCCACUGGCACCUCUGCCCCUUCCGGCCAGUAUAAGGUUUUUCGAUAUGGCUGUUGGUCUAAACUCGACUUCAUGAGAGAAGAGCCAGAAGUUAACCAAGUGAAGGGAUCCGGGGUUCUUACAGCGAAUCCCUGGAUCCGUCAUUACAAAUGCUCCGAGGGAAAAGGAAAUAGAAGAAUUUCGUCAAAAGCUGCUUCGGAGAAGCAAAAUUCUCAACACUCGGACGAUGGCGACACAGAGGUGACUGAUCAGAACUUUCGCGACAACGAUCUUGAUGAAGAGAAGUCGGAGAUGAUGCAAGGAAUCAAGAGGACAAGAACUUCCACUGAUACCGUUUCCAAUACAGAUCAGGUUGUCCCUUCUGAAUCUAUCAUCGCACAAGACAGCGUAACCGGAGUCCACGGAAAUGAAGAUUAAGGCUACUACCUUCUUUUUGCUUUUCCCGGAUUCUAACUGUAACCCUAACCUCAGCUUCAAUGAACAUGAAGAACCGAGGAAAGAUUGACCUCUUCUUUUUCUUAGGCGCCGCGGCCGUCGCUCCCGGAGGCGACUCCGUCCCUGCGUCGCUGCUCGAUCUCUGAUGCGAAAGUGAACCGUCGCUGUUCUUCAAUUCAGC